rnacentral:rRNA from 1 species
CCUACCGGUGGCAGCAGUGGGGAAUCGCCACAAGGGACGGGUGCCGAAUCCAGCACAAUCGCGCAACCAUGAAGCCGCAAGGCUGGUAAAGCGAUGAAUCCGGAAGAACGUAAACCCUUUUAUACGGGAGGGAAUGACGGUACCGGAAGAAUAAGCACCGCUAGCUCCG